GAUGAACGCUGGCGGCGUGCCUACUACAUGCAAGUCGAGCGAGCGGGGACGGGUGAGUAACACGUCGAUAACUUCCUAUAAGACUGGGAUACCUUCGGGAAACCGGAGCUAAACCGCAUCCCUUUAGACGGCUCCUCUCUGCAUUAGCUAGUUGGUAAGGUAACGGCUUACCAAGGCAACGAUGCAUAGCCGACCUGAGAGGGUGAUCGGCCACACUGGAACUGAGACACGGUCCAGACUCCUACGGGAGGCAGCAGGAGGGAAUCUUCCGCAAGGGGCGAAAGCCUGACGGAGCAACGCCGCGUGAGUGAUGAAGGUCUUCGGAUCGUAAAACUCUGUUAUUAGGGAAGCGGUACCUAAUCAGAAAGCCACGGCUAACUACGUGCCAGCAGCCGCGGUAAUUC
rnacentral:rRNA from 1 species